rnacentral:rRNA from 1 species
AGAGUUUGAUCCUGGCUCAGAACGAACGCUGGCGGCGUGCUUAACACAUGCAAGUCGAACGCGAAAAUUUUCCUCGGAAAGUGAGUAGAGUGGCGCACGGGUGAGUAACGCGUAAGUUAUCUACCUCGGCAUCCGGAAUAACUCACCGAAGGGUGUGCUAAUACCGGAUACGUUGAGUAAUCAAGAAAGGUGGCCUCUGAAUAUGCUACUGUGCUGAGAUGAGCUUGCGUACCAUUAGCUAGUUGGUAGGGUAAUGGCCUACCAAGGCAACGAUGGUUAGCGGGUCUGAGAGGAUGAUCCGCCACACUGGAACUGAAACACGGACCAGACUCCUACGGGAGGCAGCAGUGGGGAAUUUUGCGCAAUGGGGGAAACCCUGACGCAGCAACGCCGCGUGAGUGAUGAAGGCUUUCGGGUCGUAAAGCUCUGUCAGAGGGGAAGAAAUGAGUCUGGCUAAUAUCCAGAUUUCUUGACGGUACCCUCAAAGGAAGCACCGGCUAACUCCGUGCCAGCAGCCGCGGUAAUACGGAGGGUGCAAGCGUUGUUCGGAUUUAUUGGGCGUAAAGCGCGUGUAGGCGGUUUUUUAAGUCUGAUGUGAAAGCCCUGGGCUCAACCCAGGAAGUGCAUUGGAUACUGGAAGACUUGAAUACGGGAGAGGGUAGUGGAAUUCCUAGUGUAGGAGUGAAAUCCGUAGAUAUUAGGAGGAACACCGGUGGCGAAGGCGGCUACCUGGACCGAUAUUGACGCUGAGACGCGAAAGCGUGGGGAGCAAACAGGAUUAGAUACCCUGGUAGUCC